rnacentral:rRNA from 1 species
UACGUAGGGGGCAAGCGUUGUCCGGAUUUAUUGGGCGUAAAGAGCGUGUAGGCGGCCAGACAGGUCCGUUGUGAAAACUCGAGCUCAACCUCGAGACGCCGAUGGAAACCGUUUGGCUAGAGUCCGGAAGAGGAGAGUGGAAUUCCUGGUGUAGCGGUGAAAUGCGCAGAUAUCAGGAAGAACACCCGUGGCUAAGGCGGCUCUCUAGUACGGUACUGACGCUGAGACGCGAAAGCGUGGGGGAGCGAACAGG